CUACAAGAUUCUUGAUCAUCGGAGUCAAGUCUGUUUCAAUGCACUGACUGUCUUUGAAGCAGUUGAAGGAAACUGCCCAGAAAUUCCAGAGCAUCGAUUCUAUUUAGUAGAAUUUGAUCAACUCGAAGCACGCAUGAAUGAUCAUACAAUUCUAACAGAUGUGUAUGGCUGUUUGAAGUCGAUUGUACCACCACAUGAGACAACUGUGAACUGUCAAGGAUAGAGAGUCAAAAUGUGAAAUCCAUUUGCAGAAUUUAAGAAGAGAGGACUUGAGAAUUACACUCUGGGGCAACACUGCUAGACAAGUCAACAUGGAAACAAUUAGAAAAGCUUCUCCACUAGUGCUGAUGGCAUUAACCAAUUUAAAAAUCAAAGAGUACUUGAACAAACCUGCCCCAUCAAAUACAAGCAACACCUGUAUUUUCAUCAAUCCAAAGAUCCCAGAAACAAACAAGUACAGGCUUCAGUAAGUUCCUUCAUUAUAAGAAAACCAUCAUUUUACAAAAAAGGAAAGAAAAAAAUAUCAACAGUUUCAUCACAUGCCUAUAAAUUUGUAGGUUCUCAAAACUGGUUGAUAGAGUGCAAAUACUUCCAACACUAUUCAAACAGCCAACAUCAGAAGAAAUCCAGGAAACCAAUAUGAAAACAGUGACUCGAUUGAACAUAUUGGAUCCAUUGUCAUACAAGGAACAAAUGGUGUAUUGCAAUGCUUCAAUUUCCAGAUUUGCAACACACGACGGUUGGUGGUAUAAAGCCUUGCUGUUAUCGAGAAUUAAGAGAACAAGAACAUGACAAUCAACUCGGCUGCUCACAUCAUGGGAAGCAAGAAAUUCUUGUUUCAGAGUCUACAUGACUAUCACUGAUGGUCAAAACGAGGCAACGGUUAUCAUAAUGGGAAAACAAGCAGAGAAACUGUUUGGAAGUAAUUGCAAAGAUUUGGUCAGCAAAAGAUCCUACCCAACAGAAGCAACAUUACCAGAGGAGAUGGAGAAAACAAGAGGCCAAAAGUUCUUUUUCAGCUCAAGAUAACGGAAGAUAGUGAGCUAAUAAUCAAAGCAGUCUUCCCACAUAUGGAAUCCUCUGUACCACCUUUUGAAAACGACCCAGCAACUAUGACUCCAGAUCCUGUUCCUUUUCAAAGAAUCAGCAACUCUCUGACAAGUAAAAGAGGAUUAUUCAUAUCUGAACCAGACAAGAAAUCUAGAAGUGAGAGAGAAGCAGAGGAAGAUGAAACCACAUCGUCAUCAGCUGAAAACAAAAAGACUGUUUAAUGCAGGAUAACUGUGGUGUACAGUGUUUUGAUGAAGUAAUCGAUUUUGUGUAGCUGCAAUCACAAGUACAGUUGGAACCACCACUGUUUUUGAACAAGCUCCACAAUCUCACAAGAUUGCAGCAACAAUCUUUUUGUAAAUCUGCAACUAUAAUAGCUAAUCUGACUAUGCAGCUAGCUUUUUUGUAAAGCUGCA